rnacentral:rRNA from 1 species
GGGCCCGCACAAGCAGCGAGGUAUGUGGUUUAAUUCGACGCUACGCGAAGAACCUUACCUGGGCUUGACAUGCUUGAGAAAGGACCAAGAAACUGGUCCCCCCAUGACCGCAAGGUCAUGGCUCAUCCACAGGUGCUGCAUGGUUGUCGUCAGCUCGUGUCGUGAGAUGUAAGGUUAAGUCCUUGAACGAGCGCAACCCCUUUCGUCAGUUGCAAACCAGCAAUGGCGCACCCUGACGAUACUGCCAGCUAAAAGUUGGAGGAAGGAGGGGAUGACGUCAAAUCCUCAUGGCCUUUAUGUCCAGGGCUACACACAUGCGACAAUGGUCGGUACAACGGGUUGCAACACCGCGAGGUGAAGCCAAUCCCUAAAAACCGGCCUCAGUUCAGAUUGCAGACUGCAAUUCGUCUACAUGAAGAUGGAGUUGCUAGUAACCGCGGGUCAGCUACACCGCGGUGAAUAUGUUCCCGGGCCUU